UGGCAGAGUGUACCACUGUGGUAUUACAACGCCUGACAGCCCAGGAAAUGUGAAGGGUUCUGACAAAUUGAUCCCUGAACACACACCGAUACGUGCAAAUAAUAACUGGGAUCGAAGCAGGAGUGCUUGAGCCACUUUCUUCUUUCCCAUAAAAAAUAUUGCCCGGUGGAGCAAAUCAACUGACGGAACAAUUUCAGGUAAUCUUGGGCGUGUGUGGGCAGGUGAAGAGCAAAUAGAAACCCCCUUUAUCCCCUAUUAUUUAGGUAUAAAUCUAUUUUUAUAUAAUUUAAAACCUCCAAACGUUUUCCGCAGUUCCCAGCCCCUUGACUAACUGUAAUUCUAAUUCUAUACACUGAUUUUGAACGUCAAAUGUGACAUUGAUCAGGUCGUGCUGGGUAAAAGGCAGAGCAAUAAAAUCUCUCACAUCCAUCACAUUCGUCUGUAUGGACUAAGAGCCCUAGAGGGAAACCUGUGCCGUUUAACGGGGGUAACUUCUGCUUUUCAUCGAGUGACUUUUCUCAUCUAUUCUACCCGCGGUGUAGGAGUAUUUGUUUGCAAAGAUGAACAUGCCAAAGGCCAGGAAAAUAAAAAAAAUAAUAAUUAAACAUUUAAUUAACUUGAGCUUAGUUCAAAGGGGAGGAAACUGGCGGCGCUCCAAGGGGGCAUUACACAGGUAAUGGCUUUAAUUUCAUUUGCUUAGGUUUCAUUUUUGUUUUAAUCUUGAUAAUUGCUCUAUGGUUACUAGUUACAAUGUUAUCUUUUAGCUCUAAUAUUGGGUAUGGCACUUAAUUAAGAAUGAUGGGUUCUCUGUAAUAAAGCACUGGGGCUUGUCUAUUUUUAGAGCGGUGCAUUGGUAGCAGAUCUAUAAUCCCCAUCGGGAUGCUGUCAGCUGGCACUUGGCUGUUUCCCUACUGGAUUUUGGGAUCACUCUGUUUUCUGUGGGGCUUUCAGCUCUCCAAAUUAUUGCACUAAGUGCCAUGACUAUGAAAACGUGACUUUUGGGGGGCUUAGCUUCCAGUCUGCCUUCCAGUUUCCAACCCGUGAGAUCGAUCUGAAUAACAUAAAUCACAGAAAGGAAUGAUUAAAGGCCAAGGAAAGACGAAAUGAAGAUUAAAAAAUUGUUCACUUAAAGUAAAUAUAGGGGAGAUGGUAGUUUAGCACAAAGUACAAAUGGUAUAUACUGUAAUACCUCCAAGUGAGAUGGCAACCAACCAUGUGUAACGUUUCAAUGGUAUCCAUUUGUAAAAGCCGUUGCAAUCAAAGGGCCCUAAAAUUGCACAAUUGUUAAGUUCAUCAGUGCUCGGUACAUGGGAACAGCUGAUUAUUAAUUUUGCCAAGAAAUUAUCAAAGGACUUGAAAGGACUGUGUUGCCAGCAUGAAUAGGUAUUUCCAAGAGCUCUUCUGGCCACCAGGGACUCGGGGUGCUGCACCCUACGGUUACCUUUCCAAGACCAUCAUCUUCUCAUUCCCCCAAAAAUAAGCUUUGGGUUUUCCCUUCUUUAUUUUUCAACCAGAGUUAGUACAUGGCGAGUGUUAAAUAAAUAUAUAUGUAAAAAAAAAAGCUACAGGAUUCUUUGCAGUUAUUGG
rnacentral:lncRNA from 1 species